rnacentral:rRNA from 1 species
UUAAGAGCAUAUGGUGGAUGCCUAGACACUGUUAGGUCGAUGAAGGACGUAGCAACCUGCGAUAAGCCCCGGGGAGGUGGUAAGCAACCUUUGAUCCGAGGAUUUCCGAAUGGGGGAACCCUCCCGAUACGAAAGCAUCGGGAACUUCAUACUGAAUUCAUAGGUAUGUAGAGAGCACCUGGUGAAGUGAAACAUCUCAGUAACCAGAGGAACAAAAAGAAACCAAAAGACCAUUUUUUUCACACUAAUCUUCUCCGAUGUUUAAUCGGGGUCGAUUAGUGUCGAAGACUAUGGUUUCGAUUCCCUAAGUAGUGGCGAGCGAAAGGGGAAAAAGCCCAAACUUAUAUCGUGUUGUACUUGGAAAAAUUUGUCGCAAGACUUGUUGUACUUUGAUAUUUGUAUAGUUGAAGACUCUUGGAACAGAGCACCAAAGAAGGUGAUAGUCCUGUAAAUAAAAUACAUAUUAUAUACGGUGUUUAAUUUUCCUGAGUACGGCGGAACACGUGAAAUUCCGUCGGAAGUCAGGCCGACUAUGGCCUAAGGCUAAAUACCAACAGUGAUCGAUAGUGAACGAGUACCGUGAGGGAAAGGUGAAAAGCAGCCCGGAGAGGGCGAUGAAAUAGUAUCUGAAACCAUAUGCUUACAAUGAGCAGGAGCCCCGUUCGCGGGGUGACUGUGUUCCUAUUGAAGAAUGAGCCUGCGAGUGUGUGUGUGUUGCAAGCUUAAGGACUUAUGGUCCGGAGGCGUAGGGAAACCGAGUCUUAACGGGCGUUAAGUAGCACAUACAUGACCCGAAACCGGGUGAGCAAUCCAUGACCAGGAUGAACCUUGAGUAAAAUCAAGGGGAGGUCCGAACCCACGCACCGUGCAACAUGCGGGGAUGAGUUGUGGAUAGGAGAGAAAUUCUUAUCGAACUCGGUAAUAGCUGGUUCUCCUCGAAAUAUAUUUAGGUAUAGCUGGUAUGAUCCCUCUGGGGGUAGAGCACUGGAUGAGAGCGAGGUCCGCAAGGAUACUCCUUUCAAUCAAACUCCGAAUACCAGAGAUUAGAGUACGCAAGUCAGACGGCGGGGGCUAAGCUUCGUCGUCAAAAGGGAAACAGCCCAGAUCACCGACUAAGGUCCCUAAAUUACUACUAAGUGUAAAAGGUGGUGUUAAUUCUCAUACAACCAGGAUGUUGGCUUAGAAGCAGCCAUCAUUUAAAGAAAGCGUAAUAGCUCACUGGUCAAGAGUUUUCGCGCCGAAAAUGUACCGGGGCUAAGUAGUAUACCGAAGUCGUGAAUGUAGGUAAGCUUAGGCGAACCUACGUGGUAGAGGAGCUUUCCAAACAGCAGUGAAGCUGGAUCCGUGAGGAUUGGUGGAGCGUUUGGAAGUGAGAAUGCAGGCACAAGUAGCAAAAAUGCCGGUGAAAGUCCGGCACGCCGAAAACCCAAGGUUUCCAGGGCAACGUGAAUCGUCCCUGGGUUAGUCGAUCCUAAGGCCAGGCCGAAAGGCGUAACCGAUGGAAGAGCAGGUUAAUAUUCCUGCACUUGGUAUAGUUUGUUGUUGUAUGUACAUGUCGAGUGUUUAAGCGUUUUUUGGCUAUAAACGUUUCGCAAGAUAAAGAUGAAGCCCUCGGGCAACGUCAAUUUAAGUGCAAUUCGUGUCUAGAAAAGUACAAUAACGUUAGGCUAUAUCAAUCCGUACCGCAAACCGACUCAGGUGGGCAGGUCGAGUAGACCAAGGCGGACGAGAGAAACAUUGUUAAGGAACUCUGCAAUUUAGCGGCCGUAACUUCGGGAUAAGGCCUCCCCACGCAAGUGGGGCGCAGCUAAAGACCUCAUGCGACUGUUUACCAAAAACACAGCUCCCUGCAAAAGCGCAAGCUGAAGUAUAGGGAGUGAUGCCUGGCCAGUGUCAGAACGUUAAAGGGAGAAGUCAAUUCCUUCGGGAAGGCAGCUUUGAUCUGAAGCGCUGAUGAACGCCGGCGGUAACUAUAACCGUCCUAAGGUAGCGAAAUUCCUUGUCGGGUGAGUUCCGACCCGCACGAAUGGCAUAACGGUGUGAGAAGAUGCGACGUACCCGCAACUAGACGAAAAGACCCCAUGAAGCUUUACUAUAGUUUGAUAUUGGUAUAUUACCUCGUUUGUUCAGUGUAGGUGGGAGCCGAAAGGCGCCAAUGAGACACCACCCUUGCGCUGUGAUAUACCUAAUCUCCCGACUUGAAUCAGCCGGGGGAGACAGUAUCUGAUGGGUAGUUUAACUGGGGCGGUUGCCUCCCAAAAUGUAACGGAGGCGUUUACAAAGGUCAGCUUGGUCCGGAUGGAAAUCGGACUGGACGUGCAAACGCAGUGGAAGUUAGUGAUCCGACCGUACGAUAUAGGACGGCGGAAGCUCAACGGAUAAAAGCUACUCUGGGGAUAACAGGCUGAUCGCGCCCAAGCGUCCACAGCGACGGCGCGGUUUGGCACCUCGAUGUCGGCUCAUCGCAUCCUGGGGCUGGAGAAGGUCCCAAGGGUUAGGCUGUUCGCCUAUUAAAGCGGUACGUGAGCUGGGUUCAGAACGUCGUGAGACAGUUCGGUCUCCUAUCUGUUGUGGGCGAUGAAUGUUGAGAAAGCUCUUCCCUAGUACGAGAGGACCGGGAAGGAUAAACCUCUGGUGUGUCGGCUGUCCUGCCAAGGGCACCGCCGAGUAGCUAAGUUUAGCACGGAUAAGCGCUGAAAGCAUCUAAGCGCGAAGCCGUUUUCAAGAUUAACAUUCGCUAUAGACUCCUUGUAGACUACGAGGUUGAUAGGCGCUAGGUAAAAGGCCAGUAAUGGUUUAAGCCGAGGCGUACUAAUAAGUCGAG